AAGACGAGCAUGUGAUGGAAUCCCUGCACCUCCAAAGGACGCAGAAAUCGUCAGAGAGGAAGUCUGCACUCUUUCCGACGUACUGCAGGUGAACGCCAUCGGCAACAACGACGCACAUAGCCCAGCAUUGGCUUUUGAACUGCCCUUCGAUGUCGAAGCACCUAAAGCUCCAGUGAAGCCUGUUACAAGACGUAAAAAGAUAUGUACUGUAGCUUUUUCGAGGCAGUUUCCGAGGACAAAUAAAGUUGAUUUGUCAUACA